UUUCGAAUCAUUCACAAUGGGCGAAAGCCUGAUGGUGCGACGCCGCGUGAGGGAUGAAGGUCUUCGGAUUGUAAACCUCUGUCACUGGGGAAGAAACGCUGCAUGUUAAUAGCAUGCAGCCUGACUUAACCCGGAGAGGAAGCAGUGGCUAACUCUGUGCCAGCAGCCGCGGUAAUACAGAGACUGCAAGCGUUAUUCGGAUUCACUGGGCGUAAAGGGUGCGCAGGCGGCCGUGUGUGUGAGGCGUGAAAGCCCGGAGCUCAACUCCGGAAUUGCACCUCAAACUACAUGGCUAGAGCAUUGGAGAGGGUAGCGGAAUUCACGGUGUAGCAGUGAAAUGCGUAGAUAUCGUGAGGAACACCAGAGGCGAAGGCGGCUACCUGGACAAUUGCUGACGCUCAGGCACGAAAGCGUGGGGAGCAAAA
rnacentral:rRNA from 1 species